rnacentral:rRNA from 1 species
GAUGAACGCUGGCGGCGUGCCUAAUACAUGCAAGUCGAGCGAAUGGAUUAAGAGCUUGCUCUUAUGAAGUUAGCGGCGGACGGGUGAGUAACACGUGGGUAACCUGCCCAUAAGACUGGGAUAACUCCGGGAAACCGGGGCUAAUACCGGAUAACAUUUUGAACCGCAUGGUUCGAAAUUGAAAGGCGGCUUCGGCUGUCACUUAUGGAUGGACCCGCGUCGCAUUAGCUAGUUGGCGAGGUAACGGCUAACCAAGGCAACGAUGCGUAGCCGACCUGGAGGGGGGAUCGACCACACUGGGACUGAGAAACGGCCCAGACUCCUACGGGAGGCAGAAGUAGGGAAUCUUCCGCAAUGGACGAAAGUCUGACGGAGCAACGCCGCGUGAGUGAUGAAGGCUUUCGGGUCGUAAAACUCUGUUGUUAAGGAAGAACGCCAGGUAGAGUAACUGCUACCUGUGUGACGGUACUUAACCAGAAAGCCACGGCUAACUACGUGCCAGCAGCCGCCGUAA